rnacentral:misc_RNA from 1 species
AACGCACAUUGCGCCCGCUAGUACUCUAGCGGGCAUGCCUGUUCGAGCGUCAUUUCAACCCCCAAGCACUGCUUGGCGUUGGGGCCCUACAAGCUACUGUUGUAAGCCCUCAAAAAUAGUGGCGGGCUCGCUAUAACUCCGAGCGUAGUAGUUUAUCUCGCUUAGGGUGUUUUAGCAGGUUCCGGCCGUUAAACUCCUUAUUUUUUAAUGGUUGACCUCGGAUCAGGUAGGAAUACCCGCUGAACUUAA